rnacentral:rRNA from 1 species
AGACUCCUACGGGAGGCAGCAGUGGGGAAUUUUGGACAAUGGGCGCAAGCCUGAUCCAGCCAUGCCGCGUGCGGGAAGAAGGCCUUCGGGUUGUAAACCGCUUUUGUCAGGGAAGAAAAGGUUCUGGCUAAUACCUGGGACUCAUGACGGUACCUGAAGAAUAAGCACCGGCUAACUACGUGCCAGCAGCCGCGGUAAUACGUAGGGUGCAAGCGUUAAUCGGAAUUACUGGGCGUAAAGCGUGCGCAGGCGGUUAUGCAAGACAGAGGUGAAAUCCCCGGGCUCAACCUGGGAACUGCCUUUGUGACUGCAUGGCUAGAGUACGGUAGAGGGGGAUGGAAUUCCGCGUGUAGCAGUGAAAUGCGUAGAUAUGCGGAGGAACACCGAUGGCGAAGGCAAUCCCCUGGACCUGUACUGACGCUCAUGC